rnacentral:rRNA from 1 species
GGGGAAUUUUCCGCAAUGGGCGAAAGCCUGACGGAGCAAUACAGCGUGAGGGAAGACUGCCUAUGGGUUGUAAACCUCUUUUUUCAGGGAGGAAUAAAUGACGUGUACCUGAAGAAUAAGCAUCGGCUAACUC